CCUACGGGUGGCUGCAGUGGGGAAUAUUGCACAAUGGGGGAAACCCUGAUGCAGCGACGCCGCGUGAGUGAAGAAGUAUUUCGGUACGUAAAGCUCUAUCAGCAGGGAAGAAAAUGACGGUACCUGACUAAGAAGCCCCGGCUAACUACGUGCCAGCAACCGCGGUAAUACGUAGGGGGCAAGCGUGAUCCGGAUUUACUGGGUGUAAAGGGAGCGUAGACGGCGAUGCAAGUCUGAAGUGAAAGGCGGGGGCCCAACCCCUGGACUGCUUUUGAAACCGGAUGGCUGGAGUGCAGGAGAGGUAAGUGGAAGUCCUAGUGGAGCGGUGAAAUGCGUAGAUAUUAGGAGGAACACCAGGGGCGAAGGCGGCUUACUGGACUGUAACUGACGUUGAGGCUCGAAAGCGUGGGGAGCAAACAGGAUUAGAUACCCUGGUAGUC
rnacentral:rRNA from 1 species